AUGGUAAGACUGAUAACAGUAGCUGCCAUGGACACUAAGACAGAUUGUCUCUGCCCAGAAUGACCUCACUAUCAAUAUACAUCACCAGAAGAUUACAUGGGAAAUAGGGACUGCUACCAACAACUUAAUUACACGAGUAGGGGCCCAUAGGAAUUGAAGAACACCAUAAAUGACACUACCCAUCAAUCCCAAUCACUCAAAAUAUACCCAAGAGCAACAUCAGAAAUUUUUGGAUCUGGAAUUGGAAGGCCAAAGCCAAUUUCUACCCUGAAGAUUACCAACAACAACAACUAACACAACCAUCACAAUCAAGACCCUAAAUUAAAAUCUGAGAGAACUACCAGUAAACACCAAUUUAACAUGAACCCAAUAGCUAAAUAAACGUAGAAAAAAAAAUCAAAUAUUAAUUAAGGAGUCAACAAUUAUUACCCAAAUUUAAUCAUCUCCUGUAGGAAACAGAGUGAGAACCUUUCUUCCGCCAUUCCCACUCGCUGACUCCAAAUCUUCCGCAAAUCCUGGAACUGAAUUAUGCACUGGCGCCCCCAUCCUAUGCA
rnacentral:misc_RNA from 1 species